rnacentral:rRNA from 1 species
UAGCCCUAAACGAUGUAGACUUGGCGUCGGUGGUUUAAUCGCCAUCGGUGUCGUAGCUAACGCGAUAAGUCUACCGCCUGGGGACUACGGCCGCAAGGUUAAAACUCAAAGGAAUUGACGGGUCCCCGCACAAGCAGCGGAGCGUGUGGUUUAAUUCGAUGCUACACGAAGAACCUUACCUGGGUUUGACAUAGAGAUAGUAGGGAAGCGAAAGCGGACCGACCCUUCGGGGAGCCUCUACAGGUGUUGCAUGGCUGUCGUCAGCUCGUGUCGUGAGAUGUUCGGUUAAGUCCACUAACGAGCGCAACCCUCGCUGUGUGUUACAAGUGUCACACGGUACUGCCGAUAUUAAGUCGGAGGAAGGUGGGGAUGACGUCAAGUCAGCAUGACCUUUAUAUCCAGGGCUACACACACGCUACAAUGGCCAGUACAAUGGGUUGCCAAGCCGCGAGGCGGAGCCAAUCCUAAAAAGCUGGCCUCAGUUCAGAUUGCAGUCUGCAACUCGACUGCAUGAAGUUGGAGUUGCUAGUAACCGCAGGUCAGCAAUACUGCGGUGAAUACGUUCCCGGGGAUUGUACACACCGCCCGUCAAGUCAUGGAAGCUGGCAACACCUGAAGCCGGUAUCCUAACCCGAAAGGGAGGGAGCUGUCGAAGGUGGGGUCGGUGACUGGGACUAAGUCGUAACAAGGUAACC